UUCUAGCCUGCAGCCCGGUCCAACGGCCCCACAGAGAGGCCAGGAUCCCUGGUGCUGGGAGUGAGGGGGUGAGGUGUGCGUCUGUCGAGAUGCCGGACCUGGAGAUGGUGUUCGUCAGUCUGAGGAUGUGGGGACGACUUUCUUCCCUCCUGCGAUUGCUUUCCCCCACCUCUCCUAUAAAUGACUUAAAAUACACACGAGGAAACCAUCUUCGCUCUUUCCAAGCAUCCGGUUGAGUGGCAUUAGCGCAUUCACAUUGGUACGUGGCUGUCACCACCAUCUGUCUCCAGAAUUUUUCAUCUUCCCAGACUGAAUGUCUGUCCCCAUUGAACACUAACCCCCGGCCCCUGGUCCCCAGCCACCAGCACUUUUUCUGACUCUGACAAUGCUGAGUGUCUCCAUGUACAUGGAGUCCUACAGCAUUUAUCCUUCUGCAAGUGGCUCAUUUCACUCAGCGUGAUGCCUUCAAGGUUCAUCCGUGGUCGUGGCCUGUGUGAGACUGUCCUUCACUUUGAAGGCUGAGUUGUCUUUCGUGUGGCUUUUAUCCACCCGUGCACCCUGCCUGCUCCCACUUAGCUGCUAUGAACUUGGCGUACGGAAGCGCUCGAGCCCUCCCUCCGUUCUGCGGGGCUGGCCCCAGAUGGCAUCCGACCCUUGCUGUCCUCUGAGCUCUGCCGGAGGUUUUCGGUGGCCGUCAUGUGGCAGGGCGCUCCGUGGCACAGGGGCGUCCCUGUGGCGUGUGCACCGCAGGGCUGCUCACUGGGCCUCUCCUCUCCCCGCAGCAAGAGUACUGGAGGUUAGUGGAAGAGAAGGACUGCCACGUGGCCGUGCACUGCGGCAAGGUAGACACCAACACGCACGGCAGCGGGUUCCCGGUGGGGAAGUCAGAACCGUUUUCAAGGCAUGGAUGGAACCUCACCGUCCUCCCUAAUAACACAGGGUCCAUCCUGCGUCACCUCGGUGCUGUGCCUGGUAAGCCUGGCGUGGCCACUGUCUUUGUUAUUUUUAAGAGGAAGAGUGGGGUUGGGAGGGG
rnacentral:lncRNA from 1 species